rnacentral:pre_miRNA from 1 species
AAAGUACUCCCUCCGCCCCAAAAUUCUUGUCUUAGAUUUGUCUAGAUACGGAUGUAUCAAGUCACAUUUUAGUAUUAGAUACAUCCGUAUCUAGACAAAUCUAAGACAAGAAAUUUUGGACAGAGGGAGUAGUUG